GUUGAAACACCAAUUUCCAUACGAUCCUUGAAAUUAAGCAACAUUGAGCCUGGUCAGUACCUAGAUGGGUGACCCCUUGGGAAUACUAGGUGCUAUA